rnacentral:misc_RNA from 1 species
UUUCCGUAGGUGAACCUGCGGAAGGAUCAUUCAUAAUAAAGUGUUUUAUGGCACUUUUUAAAAAUCCCUAUCCACCUUGUGUGCAAUGUUAGAUCUCGUCAAUCUUGGCGAGAUUUUUAUACAUCAACUCAUUCUUUAACUAAUUUGUCUGAAAAAUAUUAUGAAUACUUAAUUCAAAAUACAACUUUCAACAACGGAUCUCUUGGCUCUC